AUGCAAGUCGAACGAAGCGCUUAAAUGGAUUUCUUCGGAUUGAAGUUUUUGUGACUGAGUGGCGGACGGGUGAGUAACGCGUGGGUAACCUGCCUCAUACAGGGGGAUAACAGUUAGAAAUGACUGCUAAUACCGCAUAAGCGCACAGUGCUGCAUGGCACAGUGUGAAAAACUCCGGUGGUAUGAGAUGGACCCGCGUCUGAUUAGCUGGUUGGUGGGGUAACGGCCUACCAAGGCGACGAUCAGUAGCCGGCCUGAGAGGGUGAACGGCCACAUUGGGACUGAGACACGGCCCAAACUCCUACGGGAGGCAGCAGUGGGGAAUAUUGCACAAUGGGGGAAACCCCGAUGCAGCGACGCCGCGUGAGCGAAGAAGUAUUUCGGUAUGUAAAGCUCUAUCAGCAGGGAAGAAAA
rnacentral:rRNA from 1 species